UGAUCAACACCAUGUGUGGUUUUGGGGUUCAAACCCAAAACUACCUGGAGGCAAACAAGUCCAUCUACCCGGUGGGCUGUGCAGACAGAGCCGUGAUGUGGAUCGAGUCUCAUCUGCUGCUGGUGGGGGCGCUGGCCCUGGGUCUGGCCCUGCCUCAGAUUGCAGGCAUUGUGCUGUCCCAGAUCCUGAUCUCUCAGAUCCAAGAUGAGAUUACCUCGGUGUUGUGAGAGCGGGCGGACGCAGGGGAAGAGACGAGAAGAAAAGAACUUACAGCACUUCACUCAGCUGCUCUCAUAAGUGCAAGGACGUCUUUUCCACCGCCGCCGUAUCACCGCCAUGUUGGAGAACACAUAUCUUAUUCUUACCGUGCUGCUGCCUUCGGGCGUACAAGUGUGCUGCACUUUAUUGUGUUACCGAAACAGUCAGUCACAUACCAAGUGCACAUUUAUUGGUUUUGCUUUUUGUAUUGACAUUGACAUGCAGGUUUCAUCUCUGAAAGUAUUUAUAUUUAAAUGUGAUAAGUUUGCUAAUAAAAGUAUUUAAAGCA